UACCCUUAGGUGGGGCAUAAACCCGGGAAACUGGGGCUAAUUCCCCAUAGAUACAGAAGGCUGGAAUGCCUCUGUAUUCAAAGCUCCGGCGCCUAAGGAUGAGUCUGCGACCUAUCAGGUAGUAGUCAGGGUCACGACCUGACUAGCCAACGACGGGUACGGGGUGUGAGAGCACUUGCCCGGAGAUGGUUUCUGAGACACGAAACCAGGCCCUACGGGGCGCAGCAGGCGCGAAAACUUCGCAAUGCGGGAAACCGUGACGAGGGAACUCCAAGUGUCUAUGCAAUGCAUAGACUGUUUUUCAGCCUAAAUAGCUGUUAGAGUAAGGGGUGGGUAAGACCGGUGCCAGCCGCCGCGGUAACACCGGCACCCCGAGUGGUAGCCACUAUUAUUGGGCCUAAAGCGUUCGUAGCCGGUUUAGUAAAUUCUUGGGUAAAUCGUACAGCUUAACUGUGCGGAUUCCGGGGACACUACUAGACUUGAGACCGGGAGAGAUUAGAGGUACUUGCAGGGGAGCGGUGAAAUGUUGUAAUCCUGCAGGGACCACCAGUGGCGAAGGCGUCUAAUCAUAACGGCUCUGACGGUGAGGAACGAAACCCUGGGGCGCACACGGGAUUAGAUACCCCGGUAGUCCAGGGC
rnacentral:rRNA from 1 species